CAGCCGUAAACAAUGUGCGUUAGGUGUGUCGGUAACCACGCGUUACUGAUGCGCCGAAGAGAAAUCGUGAAACGCACCACCUGGGAAGUACGGUCGCAAGGCUGAAACUUAAAGGAAUUGGCGGGGGGAGCACCACAACAGGUGGAGCCUGCGGUUUAAUUGGAUUCAACGCCGGACAUCUCACCGGAUAAGACAGCUGAAUAAUUGUCAAUCUGAAGGUUUUACAUGACUAGCUGAGAGGUGGUGCAUGGCGUCAGUGACU
rnacentral:rRNA from 1 species